rnacentral:rRNA from 1 species
CAGUAGCCGCGGUAAUACGUAGGGUGCGAGCGUUGUCCGGAAUUAUUGGGCGUAAAGGGCUCGCAGGCGGUUUCUUAAGUCUGAUGUGAAAGCCCCCGGCUCAACCGGGGAGGGUCAUUGGAAACUGGGAAACUUGAGUGCAGAAGAGGAGAGUGGAAUUCCACGUGUAGCGGUGAAAUGCGUAGAGAUGUGGAGGAACACCAGUGGCGAAGGCGACUCUCUGGUCUGUAACUGACGCUGAGGAGCGAAAGCGUGGGGAGCGAACAGGAUUAGAUACCCCCGUAGUCCCUGUCUCUUAUAC